CGUAGUCCGGAUUGGAGUCUGCAACUCGACUCCAUGAAGUCGGAAUCGCUAGUAAUCGUGGAUCAGAAUGCCACGGUGAAUACGUUCCCGGGCCUUGUACACACCGCCCGUCACACCAUGGGAGUGGGCUGCAAAAGAAGUAGGUAGUUUAACCUUCGGGGGGACGCUUACCACUUUGUGGUUCAUGACUGGGGUGAAGUCGUAACAAGGUAGCGCUAGGGGAACCU
rnacentral:rRNA from 1 species